UACGGAGGGUGCAAGCGUUAAUCGGAAUUACUGGGCGUAAAGCGCACGUAGGCGGUUUGUUAAGUCGGAUGUGAAAGCCCCGGGCUCAACCUGGGAACUGCAAUCGAUACUGGCAGACUAGAGUAUGGUAGAGGCAAGUGGAAUUUCGGGUGUAGCGGUGAAAUGCGUAGAUAUCCGAAGGAACAUCAGUGGCGAAGGCGACUUGCUGGACUAAUACUGACGCUGAGGAGCGAAAGCGUGGGGAGCAAACGGG
rnacentral:misc_RNA from 1 species